GACAGAGGGUGCAAACGUUGUUCGGAAUUACUGGGCGUAAAGCGCGUGUAGGCGGCUUUGUAAGUCGGAUGUGAAAUCCCGCGGCUCAACCGUGGAAGUGCACCCGAAACUACAUCGCUAGAGGAUCGGAGAGGAAAGUGGAAUGCUUGGUGUAGAGGUGAAAUUCGUAGAUAUCAAGCGGAACACCGGUGGCGAAGGCGGCUUUCUGGACGAUUUCUGACGCUGAGACGCGAAAGCGUGGGUAGCAAACAGG
rnacentral:rRNA from 1 species